GAUAUGCACCGACUGUUCAUCACCUUCAUCUGCCCCAUCAACUCAGUUCUCUGUUUGCCCAUUUUCUCAAUUUCGGCCACCAAUGCCUUGUUUGCCUCACGGGACUCCUCCAAGGACUUCUCUCGUUCAGCAAGAGCACCCUUCACGCCAGCUAAGUCAUGCACAACUGCCUCUAGUUCCGUAGCAAGCUGAAUCUUUUCAACCUUCAGAGCGUUGUACGCUGAUCCCAUCUCGCAAGUCUU
rnacentral:lncRNA from 1 species